rnacentral:rRNA from 1 species
UAUCAAUAAGCGGAGGAAAAGAAACCAACAGGGAUUGCCUCAGUAGCGGCGAGUGAAGCGGCAAAAGCUCAAAUUUGAAAUCUGGCGUCUUUGGCGUCCGAGUUGUAAUUUGAAGAAGGUAUCUUUGGGCCCGGCUCUUGUCUAUGUUCCUUGGAACAGGACGUCACAGAGGGUGAGAAUCCCGUGCGAUGAGAUGGCCCGGGUCUAUGUAAAGUUCCUUCGACGAGUCGAGUUGUUUGGGAAUGCAGCUCUAAGUGGGUGGUAAAUUCCAUCUAAAGCUAAAUAUUGGCGAGAGACCGAUAGCGAACAAGUACAGUGAUGGAAAGAUGAAAAGAACUUUGAAAAGAGAGUGAAAAAGUACGUGAAAUUGUUGAAAGGGAAGGGCUUGAGAUCAGACUUGGUAUUUUGCAAGUUACUCUUUCGGGGGUGGCCUCUGCGGUUUACCGGGCCAGCAUCGGUUUGGAGCGGUAGGAUAAUGGCGGGGGAAUGUGGCACGACUUUGGUUGUGUGUUAUAGCCUCUGACGAUACUGCCAGCCUAGACCGAGGACUGCGGUUUUUACC